rnacentral:tRNA from 1 species
GCGGACGUGCCAGAGUGGUCAUGGGAUGGACUCAAAAUCCAUUGGCUUAGUGCCUUCGCAGGUUCAAGUCCUGCCGUCCGCA